rnacentral:rRNA from 1 species
UAGGGAAUCUUCCGCAAUGUGCGAAAGCCUGACGGAGCAACGCCGCGUGAGUGAUGAAGGUCUUCGGAUCGUAAAACUCUUUUAUUAGGGAAGAACAAAUGUGUAAUUAACUAUGCACGUCUCGACGUUACCUAAUCAGAAAGCCACGGCCAACUACGUGCCAGCAGCCGCGGUAAUACGUAGGUGGCAAGCGUUAUCCGGAAUUAUUGGGCGUAAAGCGCGCGUAGGCGGUUUUUUAAGUCUGAUGUGAAAGCCCACGGCUCAACCGUGGAGGGUCAUUGGAAACUGAAAAACUUGAGUGCAGAAGAGGAAAGUGGAAUUCCAUGUGUAGCGGUGAAAUGCGCAGGGAUAUGGAGGAACACCAGUGGCGAAGGCGACUUUCUGAUCUGUAACUGACGCUGAUGUGCGAAAGCGUGGGGAUCAAACAGG